UUGCCUCUCAUUUCCCCCAGGGCCACACUGGCUUGGUGACGCUCCAGUUGGUGCCUCUUCAAGCACCAUUCUUAGCAGAGUUGGCCUGGAUCUGCCCUGGGCCAGCUCCGCGGAGCUGGAAGCCCUGGCUGCUCCCAGGAGAGGCUUUCCAGAAGGAAGGGACUCGGACUGUGAUGGAAACCGCCAGGCGCUGGCUGGGGAGGGACGGUCCCCACGCCACCUCCCCGGGCCUCCAACGGGCAGCUCGGCACGCUGCAGGCUCUCUUCUGUGGGUCUUUAGGUCGCACAGGGAGGGCUGCACGGCGGAGCCAGGAUCACAGUAACUGCAGGCCGCUGUGGCUCUCUGGCGGCCGUGCCCGGUGGAGGCUGCCAGCUGGCCCUGCUAAUUACCUGUCGCCCAGGAUGGGGAGGGAGACAGAGCGGACACAGAGGCCCCGGCAGAAGGCACCAGACCAUGGCAGGCUGGCAUCUCUGGGGUCUGGGCUGCCCAGCCGGCCCCAGGGCACUGGCUGUGCUGUCGCAGGGAAUGACCUGGUGACACGUUGACCGGGCAUUGCCCCCUGGGGGACUGUAGAAAACCAGCUCAGAGAAAGAGCCUAGGGAUGGCGGUCUCAGAAGAAAUGGCGGUGAACACCACGGGCUGAAGGCCUCUGUGCCGGCUUGGAAUCUUCUCAAGAGUCGCAAAGGCACACCCAGAAUUUCCUACGCAAGAAGAUGGAGUCCACGUAUUGGCAGGAACGUCUCUGGAUUCUGGCGGGGUACGCCCCUCCACCUGACUUCCCCUCCUUCACCAAGUGGCCCUGAAAACGUUCACAUCUGAGCAAGUUCCCUGCCGGCCUGCUCCGCCAUCAUGGUGGGAGAGGUGGACAGGACUAGGCGGCCGGGGCAAGAUGGCCGGUGAGGCGGUCAGGGCAGGACAAGCAACGGGGAGAGGGUCUUCCCGUGAGGUCCGCGUCCUGCUUGACGGAAGUGCUCCGGGACCCAAGUGGGGACCCCAUCAGACAGACACUUCUGUACUUGUGCUCCUCAGAGGGGGACCCAACAGAAAAACUAAAGAAGACGCGUGGACACAGGGCACCAGUCAGUAAUAGUGAGGAGGGCGUGGACAGGGAGGAGGUGGGAAAGAGGAAAUUCCUGAGACCGAAAAGGCACAGGCCCAAACUCCCCCACUGGUUGCCCAGCUCGGGGGCCCUUCUCUUGGGACAAUUCUGUCCCUGUCACCUUGCAAUAAACCCCCUGCUGCUUGCUGCCUCUGAGUCCUGUUCCUCCACUCUUUGCUGAACAGAGACAACAAACCCAGCCCCUAGACGGUAUCAAUGGUCCCUGCACGGAUGGACGCAUCCUGUCUGUUACCUCUGGGGCAGCUCUGGGCUCAGACAGGCCAGGUAGGCAAGGAGAGGGACGCUGCACGUAGGGCCUGGGGGCAGACCCUCUGACCCAGCUGUGCACAGACCCGCCCCCUGUCCCCACGGGCCUCUGCGACUCAGGCUUGCUCAGCUGGGGUGUCCUGUUCUCUGAGCUGCGUGCGCGUGGACCACUCUCGCGGGAAUCCAGGAGCUGCCACAGGCCCACAAGCCUGCGACGCUCGGCAAAGCCGGGCAGGUUAGUCCAGAGCACAGGCGGACACGCUGGGGCUCCUGAGCUUCAGGGCCACCCACAUUCUGCCUCCGUGACCGCUCCUCAUAUGUACAUGGCUAAGGGCCAGCAGCAGCCCCCUCCACCUCCCAGAUGUCAGCAGCACCUGUGACGACCAGAAAUGUCUCCACACAUCCCCCGGGGGGACAAAAUUGCCUGUGGAUAGGAAUCACUGCGGUAAGCGCCAAACCCGGUGAUUCCUCUGUGGGCCUUCGUGAAGUCAAGGGCCCAACGCGAGUGUCACUUUAAAUUGUCUUUCUCUAAUUCCAAGGAAAAUUAAAUUUCCUCUUUGUGUGACUCCUUGGCACUUAGACAAUAAUGACUGUUACCAACAAUUGAGUCUUGCAUGAUGGGCUCUGGCUUCGUCCCAUUCUGGGCAUAAGGAGACUCGGGAUCUGAGUCAGCACAGGGCACGGAACCACCCACGACACAGAAUCAGACGCUGGGCGCCUCCUGUUCAUGUGACACUCCUGGAGUGGACCCUGGGCCUGAGGAGCACCCAGAGUCCUGCUCUCCUCUGGUGGCAGCUCCCCAAGGCCACCUGCACUCCUUGGCCGGGUCCCUUCCUUUGAGCAUCUGUUCUCCUCUCUGACCUCAGCUCCAUCCUUGACCCUCCUUCCUCUGACCCCGAUGCCCCUGUUACAAGGACAUCAGUGACUACUGUGGGUAUGGCCACAGCACCUCUCCAACUCAAGGCCCACGGUGUAGCCAGCCCUGCAAAGUCCUUUUACCAGGGGUGGCGACCUACGCAGAGUUGCCAGGGACCAGGAUAUGGAAAGCUGAGUUUCUCCAGUUCCAAAAUCUGCUGGCUCUAUGCACAGGGAUUUCAAGUUUUCUAAUACAGGUGCUUUACUCUUAAAACCAAACCAAAAUCAGCUCACUAUAGUGACGCAGCCACAUCCAUGUUUAUAGCAGCUCAAUUCACGGUAGACAAGCUAUGGAGCCUACCUAGGUGCCCUUCAACAGAUGCAUGAAUAAAGAAAAUGUGGGACGUAUACACAAUGGAAUAUUACUCGGCCUUAAAGAAGAAUGAAAUCAUGGCAUUUGCUGGUAAAUGGAUGGAACUGGAGCAUAUCAUGCUAAGCAAAAUAAGCCAAUUCCAAAAAACAAAAGGCCAAAUAUUCUGUUUGAUAUGCAGAUGCUAAUUCACAAUGGGGGGGUGGGAGACUAGAGAAAAAUAGGGAUACUUAGGAUUAGGCACAGGGGAAUGAACGGAGAGGGUAGGAAGGAUGGGGAAUGAAUCAGACCUUAUUACCCUACGUGCACACAGGACCACGCGGCCCGUGUAACUCUAUAUCACCUACAACCAGAAGAAUGAGAAGUUAUGCUCCAUUUACGUAACAACGAGUCAAAAUGCAUUCUACUGUCGUGGAAAACCAAUUAGAACACAUUUUAAAAAUUAAAAAGAAAAGACAAGCCAAGCCAAAGCCUGAUGCUGUAAUGGGUGCUGGCCGCGUCCUGCCCCACCUACUGACCAUCACCCCACAGCAAGCCCUCGGCUGCUAGUCAGGCCACAGCCCGUGCAGUCUGCCCGUCUCUCCCUGUCUGUAUCUCUCUUCUCCCUGGGCCAGCCAUGUGGGCACCUCCCCAUCUCCCAGGAGCUGACUGAGCGAUUGUGAUGCUGAGAUCUGCCAAGUGCCACUUCAUCAGGUGACCUCAGAGCCGUGCACCCAGUCCUCCCGAUGCUCUGGUGACCUCCGGCACUCCUCGCAGGCCCCCAGGCUCUGGAAGGGCGGUGACUCACGCCAGCAUGGCCCACAGUUCCCUCCGGCGGCCCCUGGAGGGUCAGGGUAGCAGGAUCCCACGCAGCCAGGACUGGAAAGGCAAGUCCCAGGGGACCGUGAAGCCACCAUCACCUCCCAGGGGUCCCUUCUGACGUCUGUGUGACAGGGAGCCUUACGUAAGGCAGGGUGGCACCGGCUGUGAACUUGAGCAGGGUCACACCGCCCGGCGGUGUGUUCACACACGUCUGGCCAGUGCUCCGCCCUGCGGAUUCCGGAGACGGGGGCCAGAAUGUGCACUGCUACAGCUGCGGCUGGUCCAGGGGCCAGGCUUUCAGAGUUCAAAGCCUUCCUUAUCAGUCGGAGAUUCAGGGGCAGAUGGACAUAGAUCUCCGAGAUGUUUGGACUUCAAAUAAGCCCAUAUCUGAAUGUGGAUUAGGCAACGAGGCAUCACGAGGAGUCCAGAGGAGGAGCUUCCAUGGAGAAGUCAGCAAACAAUUGACCUCAGCAAGGAUCAGCCUCUUCCUGCCACCUCCAUUAUGUUGCCUUUGCUCUCGGGGUUGCCUCUUCAGUAUUGCAGAAUGGCUGCUGCUGCUCCGGGUGUCAGGUGUGAACCCAAUAAUGUCUGCCCGAAGGAAAGAAGGAGGCUUUCCCUCAUGGAGGGGAGUCUCUCUGAGAGGUCCCCACUCAACACCCCCUUGAAUCUCAUUGAUGGGGUCACCACUUGCCCAGGCCUGGUCCCACUGUCAGGCAAGGCCACACUCAUGCCUGCUGGGGAGCUCUGACUCUCAGUACGCAGCACAGUGAACCGGAACUUGACCAGGGCUCUGCCAACCACAAGGAAGGUGGGACUCGGGGCGCUGGGGCUCUGGGUGCUGGGGCUCAGGGCACUGAGGCUCGGGCCUAGGCCUGGGUUUCGACACCGCCCUGAUUUACCGAGGAGACCGUGACCCGAUUGCUCCGUGUUCUGACUCUCAGGCGUGCGAGGUGGGGAGAUCAGGGGAGGCACCCCCUGAAGGCUGGGGGACACCUUUCCUGUGAGGAAAGGUCACGUGGUGUCGGGCACCAGGGCUGGGACAGGUUGCAGGGGACAGGGGCCUCAGGGUCUCUCAAGUCACGCACGGGGCUGAGGAUCAGGGGCUCUGGGGUCAAGUGGCCUGAGUUCCAGCCAGGCUGGCUGAGGGCCUGGCCUCAGCUGGGUCCGGCCUCGGCUACCCAUGUUUCAGAGUGACCCCCAUCAAUUCUGGGGCCACAGAGUCCAGCCUCUGGGCACCAGCGCUUGCAGGGCAGCGGAGGCCAGGCCAGAAGGGAUCCUCAGGGUGCCGAGGAGGCUCUGCCGUCCCAUCUCUGGCUGGCAGCCGUGCGGGGGCCUCUGCCCCUUCCUCCCACUUUUCCACACCGGUCCCUCCCGCUGUCCUCCUGGGGCUCCAGCGCACCUCACGAGGUGGCCAGAAGAACCAACAGUCCAGUCGUCACAGGGCAGGACGGGCAGGAGCAAGGACGGGGACAGAAGCCCCUUGGUGUGGGAGAGGCGGGUGGGAGGCAGCCGCACCAUCCAUCCCAGGCCACCCAUGCCGUCCAGCCACAUGGAUCCUGCUGGGGGACCCUGGGCCUGUGGCCUCUGCUCCCUGGGCAACCUCAGCCUGAGUCUCCUCUCCCUCCCCACCUCAGAUGCCCCCUCGUCCUUCGCGUCUCUUCACACCUCCCGCAGGACAGCACACUGAGCUGCCUACGCCCACUCCCAGGUCCCCCGUCUGCGUCCUUGGGGUCUGUUUCCCAUUCAUAGCACUGACCACAACUGGUGACCACUUAGUCUGUUAAUUUACUUCAUUUCCCCUCCGGCCUCUUGAGGGCCGGCGUGGACUGCCCGAGGCGUCCUGGGGACAGCGCCUGCGUCCACACCCAGAGUGCGUCCACGUCUCGUGGGCAGCUCACCCGCACAGGCCGAGGGGCUCCCUGCGUAGCUUCAGCACACCUAGUGACCGCCGCUCCCCGUGAGGCCAGGGGUGGGGCCUGCCGCUCGGGCUGUCUUGGCCGUGCUGGGGACGUCCUGUGUCUGUGUUCCUGGACUGGGCGUGCUGAGCCCAUGGUAGCCCCGUGUCCUCGGGGAAAAUCACGUCGCCUCUGUGGGCUCCAUUCCCUGCAGAAGACACUGGCAGAGCCCUGGGCCAGGGCCGGGGAGAUGUGGACAGUGUCCAGGGCCACGUGUGGCCACAUGCCGGGCUGCACCUGUUGCUGUUCACCUCCCCUGGGCUAAUUUAGGAGGCGCAUAGUCAGGGGACUGGGAAAGAGAGCAGGCGCCGGCCUGCCCAGGGCCAGCCCUCAGCCCGUCAGCUGCCAGCGCGGUGGAGAGCAUCUCAGUGGAGAGCAGCGUCCUCCGGGGAAAUGCACGUGACCACCCAGGCCGGCUCUGCCAUGAUCACGUGCUUAGCACCAGCUGCAUCCUGCCGGGCAGCCCGUGUGUGCGCCUGUGUGCGGGGAAACCCGCCCGGCCUGCCCCAUGGGCCAGGGCUGGCAGGGCCCCUGCUCUGCCCCCCACCACCCACCCUCGCGCAGGAGAGAGGAAGAGCCCUCGGCCAGCAACGGCACUGUGAUGGGCGGGGACUGUGGUUGAGCUGGAGGUGGACACAGCAGACCCCAGCGCUGACCACCUCACACUCUGCUCUCACACUUGAAAUGCAUCCUGCUGCCCACGUCCCUCCCGGGCUCCUUCCCAUCUGUGUGCCCCCCGCCCUGAAUGGCACAUGUCCAGCUCUCGGGGUGACGGGCUGUGUUCUCGAUUUCUCUAAAAUGAGCAGAAAAUCAAUAAUCAAUGAACAGAGAAUCAAUAAUCAAUGAGCAGAGAAUCAAUAA